GACGAACGCUGGCGGCGUGCUUAACACAUGCAAGUCGAACGGAAAGGCCCUGCGUUUGUGGGGUGCUCGAGUGGCGAACGGGUGAGUAACACGUGAGUAACCUGCCCUUGACUUUGGGAGAACUUCAGGAAACUGGGGCUAAUACCGGAUAGGAGCUCCUGCUGCAUGGUGGGGGUUGGAAAGUUUCGGCGGUUGGGGAUGGACUCGCGGCUUAUCAGCUUGUUGGUGGGGUAGUGGCUUACCAAGGCUUUGACGGGUAGCCGGCCUGAGAGGGUGACCGGCCACCUUGGGACUGAGAUAGGGACCAGACGCCUACGGGAGGCAGCAGUGGGGAAUAUUGCACAACGGGGGGAAGCCUGAUGUAGCGACGCUGCGUGCGGGAUGCCGGCCUUCGGGUUGUAAACAGCUUUCGACUGUGACGAAGCGUGAGUGACGGUAAUGGGUAAAGAAGCAACGGCUAACUACGUG
rnacentral:rRNA from 1 species